GAUGAACGCUGGCGGCGUGCUUAACACAUGCAAGUCGAACGGAAAGGCUCCUGCUUGCAGGGGUACUCGAGUGGCGAACGGGUGAGUAACACGUGGGUGAUCUGCCCUGCACUUCGGGAUAAGCCUGGGAAACUGGGUCUAAUACCGGAUAGGACGAUGGUUUGGAUGCCAUUGUGGAAAGUUUUUCGGUGUGGGAUGAGCUCGCGGCCUAUCAGCUUGUUGGUCGGGUAAUGGCCUACCAAGGCGUCGACGGGUAGCCGGCCUGAGAGGGUGUACGGCCACAUUGGGACUGAGAUACGGCCCAGACUCCUACGGGAGGCAGCAGUGGGGAAUAUUGCACAAUGGGCGCAAGCCUGAUGCAGCGACGCCGCGUGGGGGAUGACGGCCUUCGGGUUGUAAACUCCUUUCGCUAGGGACGAAGCGCAAGUGACGGUACCUGGAGAAGAAGCACCGGCUAACUACGUG
rnacentral:rRNA from 1 species